rnacentral:rRNA from 1 species
GGACGGAUGAGUAACGCGUGGGUAACCUACCCCAAAGUCCGGGAUAACAGCGGGAAACCGCUGCUAAUACCGGAUGUCUUUACCUUGGGGCAUCUUGAGGUAAAGAAAGGUAACGCUUUGGGAUGGGCCCGCGUCCCAUUAACUAGGUGGUGAGGUAACGGCUCACCAAGGCGACGAUGGGUAGCCGGCCUGAGAGGGUGGACGGCCACACUGGGACUGAAACACGGCCCAGACUCCUACGGGAGGCAGCAGUAAGGAAUAUUGCGCAAUGGACGGAAGUCUGACGCAACGACGCCGCGUGAGCGAUGAAGGUCUUCGGAUCGUAAGGCUCUGUCCUUGGGGAAGAAGGUCUUCGGACUUGACGGUACCCAAGAAGAAAGCCCCGGCUAACUACGUGCCAGCAGCCGCGGUAAUACGUAGGGGGCGAGCGUUGUCCGGAAUUACUGGGCGUAAAG